ncrna:unclassified sequences GP20-b RNA
UUUCAUACAGCAGGCGUAAAAGAACUGUAUAAACUACUUUAGGGACGCAACCCCGUAAAAAAGCGUA